UUGCGGCCAUAUUAUGUUGAAACAUCGGACACCGUAAGAUCACUGAAGUUAAGUAACGUCGAGCCUGUUCAGUAUCUAGAUGGGUAACCACUUGGGAAUAGCAGGUGCUGUUA